rnacentral:rRNA from 1 species
GACGAACGCUGGCGGCGUGCUUAACACAUGCAAGUCGAACGGAAAGGCCCUGCUUUUGUUGGGUGCUCGAGUGGCGAACGGGUGAGUAACACGUGAGUAACCUGCCCUUGACUUUGGGAUAACUUCAGGAAACUGGGGCUAAUACCGGAUAGGAGCUCCUGCUGCAUGGUGGGGGUUGGAAAGUUUCGGCGGUUGGGGAUGGACUCGCGGCUUAUCAGCUUGUUGGUGGGGUAGUGGCUUACCAAGGCUUUGACGGGUAGCCGGCCUGAGAGGGUGACCGGCGACAUUGGGACUGCGGUACGCACCAGACUCCUACGGGAGGCAGCAGUGGGGAAUAUUGCACAAUGGGCGGACGCCUGAUGCAGAAACGCCGCGUGCGGGAUGACGGCCUUCGGGUUGUAAACCGCUUUCGACUGUGACGAAGAGUGAGUGACGGUAAUGGGUAAAGAAGCAACGGCUAACUACGUG